AUUGAACGCUGGCGGCAGGCUUAACACAUGCAAGUCGAGCGAGCGGCGGCCGGGUGAGUAAUGUCUGGGAAACUGCCUGAUGGAGGGGGAUAACUACUGGAAACGGUAGCUAAUACCGCAUACCAUCAGAUGUGCCCAGAUGGGAUUAGCUAGGAGGUGGGGUAAUGGCUCACCUAGGCGACGCUCCCGAGCUGGUCUGAGUGGAUGAACAGCCACACUGGAACCGAGACACGGUCCAGACUCCUACGGGAGGCAGCAGUGGGGAACAUUGCACAAUGGGCGCAAGCCUGAUGCAGCCAUGCCGCGUGUGUGAAGAAGGCCUUCGGGUUGUAAAGCACUUUCAGCGAGGAGGCGUUACUCGCAGAAGAAGCACCCGCUAACUCCGUGCCAGCAGCCGCGGUAAUUC
rnacentral:rRNA from 1 species